GACGAACGCUGGCGGCGUUCUUAACACAUGCAAGUCGAACGGAAAGGCCCUGCUUGUGGGGGGUACUCGAGUGGCGAACGGGUGAGUAACACGUGAGUAACCUGCCCUUUACUUUGGGAUAACUUCAGGAAACUGGGGCUAAUACCGGAUAAGAUCUCCUGCUGCAUGGUGGGGUUUUGAAAGUUUCGGCGGUUGGGGAUGGACUCGCGGCUUAUCAGCUUGUUGGUGGGGUAGUGGCUUACCAAGGCUUUGACGGGUAGCCGGCCUGAGAGGGUGACCGGCCACAUUGGGACAGAGAUACGGCCCAGACUCCUACGGGGGGCAGCCGUGGGGAAUAUUCCAAAAUGGGCGGAAGCCGGAUGCAGCAACGCCGCGUGCGGGAUGACGGCCUUCGGGUUGUAAACCGCUUUCGCCUGUGACGAAGCGUGAGUGACGGUAAUGGGUAAAGAAGCACCGGCUAACUACGUG
rnacentral:rRNA from 1 species